CUACGGGAUGCAGCAGUGAGGAAUAUUGCACAAUGGGGGGAACCCUGAUGCAGCAACGCCGCGUGGAGGAUGACGCAUUUCGGUGUGUAAACUCCUUUUAUAUGUCAAGAAAAUGGCGGUAGCAUAUGAAUAAGCACCGGCUAACUCCGUGCCAGCAGCCGCGGUAAUACGGAGGGUGCAAGCGUUACUCGGAAUCACUGGGCGUAAAGGACGCGUAGGCGGGUUGGAAAGUCAGGUGUGAAAUCCUACAGCUUAACUGUAGAACUGCACUUGAAACUUCUAAUCUAGAGUAUGGGAGGGGGAGAUGGAAUUAGUGGUGUAGGGGUAAAAUCCGUAGAUAUCACUAGGAAUACCUAAAGCGAAGGCGAUCUCCUAGAACAUUACUGACGCUAAGGCGUGAAAGCGUGGGGAACAAACAGGAUUAGAUACCCCAGUAGUC
rnacentral:rRNA from 1 species